rnacentral:rRNA from 1 species
UACCACCCUGUUUGUGCUGGAUGCCUAACCCGGCCCUUGUGGCGGGACACUGCCUGGUGGGGAGUUUGACUGGGGCGGUCGCCUCCCAAAUAGUAACGGAGGCGCGCAAAGGUUCCCUCAGCCAGAUCGGAAACCUGGCGCAGAGUGCAAAGGCAGAAGGGAGCUUGACUGCAACAUCGACAGAUGAAGCAGGUGCGAAAGCAGGCCUUAGUGAUCCGGCGGUCCCACAUGGGAGGGCCGUCGCUCAUCGGAUAAAAGGUACUCCGGGGAUAACAGGCUUAUCACGCCCAAGAGUUCACAUCGACGGCGUGGUUUGGCACCUCGAUGUCGGCUCAUCGCAUCCUGGGGCUGGAGCAGGUCCCAAGGGUUUUGGCUGUUCGCCAAUUAAAAGCGGUACGCGAGCUGGGUUCAAAACGUCGUGAGACAGUUUGGUCCCUAUCUGCUAUGGGCG